GGGGAUGUGGCGGAACUGGCAGACGCGCAGCGUUCAGGGCGCUGUGGACCUCGGUCCGUGGGAGUUCGACUCUCCCCAUCCCCACUA
rnacentral:tRNA from 1 species